rnacentral:rRNA from 1 species
GACGAACGCUGGCGGCGCGCUUAACACAUGCAAGUCGAGCGAGAACCUGGGCUUCGGCCCUGGGGACAGCGGCGAACGGGUGAGUAACACGUGGGUAAUCUGCCCUCGGCAUCGGGAUAGCCCGGGGAAACCCGGAUUAAUACCGAAUAGCCUCCGGAGCCUUCGGGCACCGGAGAAACGGUAGCUCCGGCCUCUGGCUGAGGAUGAGCCCGCGGCGGAUUCGCUUGUUGGUGGGGUAACGGCCUACCAAGGCGACGAUCCGUAGCUGGUCUGAGAGGACGAUCAGCCACACUGGGACUGAGACACGGCCCAGACUCCUACGGGAGGCAGCAGUGGGGAAUCUUGCGCUAAUGCGGGAAACCGCGACGCAGCGACGCCGCGUGGGGGAAGAAGGCCUUCGGGUUGUAAACCUCUUUCAGGAGGGACGAAGCUACUCGGGUUAAUAGCCCAGAGGGUGACGGUACCUCCAGAAGAAGCCCCGGCUAACUACGUGCCAGCCGCCGCAGUAAAAC